CAGGAGAGUAAGUUGGAAUUGGGAUGGUUGUUAGGACCUUGCUCCUUUUCAGUGUGAAAAUCAUGCAAUGAGGAAUAACACUUUAAAGAAUCUGGUGUUCUCUCUUUUAAGGGAAACAAAUGAAGACAGGAAUCACAUGAAAAGACCGUAUCUCUCAAUGCAUUCUUCUGUUCAGAAAAAUUAUCAUCUGCCUUUUUGUUUUUCUCCUUUAAAGAGCACUGUGGAGAAAGUGGCGGCUGGCUCUGUCCCAGUUCCUCAGGUCAUGCCACUUGGAAUCCCUCUUCCAGGGAAGGCUAAACAUGAAGUAGACACAAAUACUCUUCUAGAAAUGAAAUCAGGUCUGAAUAAGAGCUUUGAAUCCAGAUGGCACCAUGUCUUGAAUGCAGACACCUCCUGCCAGUGAAUACACCCUCUUGCAUUGGAUGUGAGUCACCAAUAGCUCCACAGCUGCAGCCCCAAACCAACAUCUGCGUAAAGGUAAUUGAGAAUAAAUCUAACAAAACAGCAAUUUACCUCCUGGCAUGCAUUUUUCUAACAGAUGACUUCAUGAAAAAUAGUUUGAUCCAGCUUGGGUUUCUCCAAUUACAUGAUGACAGCUUUAAGGGUUAGUAGGAUUCAAACCACCUUGAAUAGAAAUAAGCAUUAAAGGUAAACCAGAUAAGCUCAGGAAGGCAUCUUGAAGAGCACAGGAGGUAGCAGUGUGAAAGACAGGAACACGUGCACUUGUGUUCAGUAGGGAGAUAUUCUGUGAUUCUAUCAUUUAUGGCCUUAGUAUUACUGAGCAUUUUAAGUUUAUUAAAUACGUGCUCAUUACUCUGCUUCCCUCAUUUGAUUGUAAGUGCUUAGCACAGAUGGGCUGGCAGGACUGGGGCAGUGGGGAGAUGCCCAAAAUGCUCAAGCGCAGUAUUAGUCAGUGAUCCAAAAGUGCUGGUGGGCUUAACUAGACAAAAUGUACCCUAUAGAAUACUCCCUACCCAAGGGUAUGGGGACCCAGGUAGGGGCCAUCCUCAACCCCUCCAGUCAGGGGAAAGGGUGUGAGAAAGAGCCAACUGAUACUGCAUGUCCACAAUUGGUAGAUUAUAGACACUGCCCCACAUUGGAUGUUUUAUGGCAGUCCUGAUGCAGGUGCAAAGGCAGUCUUGAACUAUUUGGUGGCCACCAUCAAAACAGCAGACUCAUUAUUCUCAGCUCUGGUGGAAUCUCACUUGUUAAUAGUGACUGUGCUGGGGCACCCUCAGGGGGAUAAGAAUCAUUUUCCUUGCAGAUACUGGACUUUCUGUUUUGUGUGAGUGCAGUGACUAAGCAAACUGACACUAGUCUAUACAAACAUGUGGAGGUAUUGAUGCUGGAUCUCCUGAGGGAACUGUACCAUACUUUAAAAUGAAUUGUCACCAAGAUCCAUGGAUUUGUGAUGAGCAGGCACUAUGGCCUAACUAAAACCUGAAGCCCACAGCACAGACUUGAAGGAUCUCUUCUAUCUGCAGGGCUGAAUAACCACAGCACUUUGUAAGAUCAAGUCCUCUUCUUAUUAGUGCUGUUCAUAGUUUUCAGAUACUAAGUGAAAUGUAUUCUUUCUCUGUUUAAAAGGGCAAAGUAAUUUGUCAGGCGUGUGGCACAGGAAAUCUUCACCAUAAACACUGUGUGACUUGUGAAAGCAAGCUGCCUGAAAUAGAGACGCUAAGGCUUCUUCCAUCAAUCACACUAGGGUUAAUCAAAUCAAAGCACAACAUUCUUUUUCUCUGGAAAACUGAAGUCAUAGCCCUGUGUCCCUAUGUUACAAAAGCAGAGAUUCCCUCCCUCAUGGGAUAUUCAAGCCCAGUACUCCCACAGAUCCUCCAUCACAAAUGUCCAGCUAAACAGAAGUGUACCUUUGAGUUCCUCCUGUGGAAGUCAGGAUUGUGUGUGCCAUUGUGAAAGCUCAGAAGGCUCUUAGAAAAUGGGGAGUCUUGGCUCCAAGGGAGUUUUGUUUGUGUUCAGAUGAUUUUCAAUU
rnacentral:lncRNA from 1 species